GUCUGAGGCAGUACAUCUGCCAAACCAUAAUCCAGGUGUCCUAAGGCAUGCCCAGGACAGACAGAAACUUUCACUGGAGCAGAAAGCCAAAUGCUCACGUGAUCUUAAUUUUCAAAUGUUGUUAAUACAAUCACAGACCUCAGAAAUGG
rnacentral:ncRNA from 1 species